rnacentral:rRNA from 1 species
GGAUCAUUAGCGAGUUGCAAAACUCCCACACUUGUGAACGUUAACCGCGUCGUUGCUUCGGCGGGCGGCCCCGGGGAGGGGCCUUUGCCGUACGGCGCCCGCCGGAGGUCAUAACACCCUGUCGUUUUAGGCCUCUCUGAGCGCUACAGCGAAUAAGUCAAAACUUUCAACAACGGAUCUCUUGGUUCUGGCAUCGAUGAAGAACGCAGCGAAAUGCGAUAAGUAAUGUGAAUUGCAGAACUCAGCGAAUCAUCGAAUCUUUGAACGCACAUUGCGCCCGCUAGUAUUCUGGCGGGCAUGCCUGUUCGAGCGUCAUUUCAACCCUCAAGCCCUGCUUGGUGUUGGGGCCCCGCGGCUGCCGCGGGCCCCGAAAAACAGUGGCGGCCUCGCUGGGGCUCCGAGCGUAGUAGCUUAACCUCGCUCGCGGUGUCCCGGCCUGCGCCGGCCGUUAAACGCCCAAUUUUUACAAGGUUGACCUCGGAUCAGGUAGGAAUACCCGCUGAACUUAAGCAUAUCAAUAAG